AACCUACUCCCUUCGUUCCGAAUUACUUGUCUUAGAUUUGUCUAGAUACGGAGGUAUCUAGCACCAAAAUGAGUCUAGAUACAUUUGUAUCUAGACAAAUCCAAGACAAGUAAUUCAGAAUGGAGGGACUAUCCU
rfam:Triticum aestivum genome assembly, contig: Triticum_aestivum_CS42_TGACv1_scaffold_000174_1AL